AAAAACAUCGCCUCCCGCAAAACCCAAUGUAUAGGAGGUCCUGCCUGCCCAGUGAACUAGUUUAAACGGCCGCGGUAUCUUGACCGUGCAAAGGUAGCGCAAUCACUUGUCUUUUAAAUGAAGACCUGUAUGAAUGGUGAAACGAGGGCUUAACUGUCUCCCCCCUUAGGUCAGUGAAAUUGAUCUACCCGUGCAGAAGCGGGUAUAAAAAUACAAGACGAGAAGACCCUUUGGAGCUUAAGACAACAAGACCAAUUAUGUCAAAAACCUGCUACAAAACAGAUUAAACCUAAUAACACCUGGUCCAAGUCUUCGGUUGGGGCGACCGCGGGGGAAAAUAAAGCCCCCAUGUGGAACGGGAAAACAUCCUAAAACCAAGAGAGACAUCUCUAAGACACAGAACAUCUGACCAUCACAGAUCCGGCUACAUAGCCGAUCAACGGACCAAGUUACCCUAGGGAUAACAGCGCAAUCCCCUCCCAGAGUCCCUAUCGACAAGGGGGUUUACGACCUCGAUGUUGGAUCAGGACAUCCUAAUGGUGCAGCCGCUAUUAAGGGUUCGUUUGUUCAACGAUUAAAGUCCUACGUGAUCUGAG
rnacentral:rRNA from 1 species